GACGAACGCUGGCGGCGUGCUUAACACAUGCAAGUCGAACGAAGUGGCGAACGGGUGAGUAGCGCGUAAUCAACCUGCCCUUCAGAGGGGGACAACAGUUGGAAACGACUGCUAAUACCGCAUACUGAAGGAGGGGCUUGCGUCUGAUUAGCUAGUUGGAGGGGUAACGGCCCACCAAGGCGAUGAUCAGUAGCCGGUCUGAGAGGAUGAACGGCCACAUUGGGAACGAGACACGGCCCAGACUCCUACGGGAGGCAGCAGUGGGGAAACUUCCGAAAUGGACGGAAGUCUUACGGAGCAACGGCGCGGGAGGGAUGACGGCCUUCGGGUUGUAAAGCUCUGUUAAUCGGGACGCGGUACCGGAAUAGAAAGCAACGGCUAACUACGUGCCAGCAGCCGCGGUAAUUC
rnacentral:rRNA from 1 species